rnacentral:rRNA from 1 species
UCCAGACUCCUACGGGAGGCAGCAGUGGGGAAUAUUGCACAAUGGGCGCAAGCCUGAUGCAGCCAUGCCGCGUGUAUGAAGAAGGCCUUCGGGUUGUAAAGUACUUUCAGCGGGGAGGAAGGUGUUGAGGUUAAUAACCUCAGCAAUUGACGUUACCCGCAGAAGAAGCACCGGCUAACUCCGUGCCAGCAGCCGCGGUAAUACGGAGGGUGCAAGCGUUAAUCGGAAUUACUGGGCGUAAAGCGCACGCAGGCGGUUUGUUAAGUCAGAUGUGAAAUCCCCGGGCUCAACCUGGGAACUGCAUUCGAAACUGGCAGGCUGGAGUCUUGUAGAGGGGGGUAGAAUUCCAGGUGUAGCGGUGAAAUGCGUAGAGAUCUGGAGGAAUACCGGUGGCGAAGGCGGCCCCCUGGACAAAGGCUGACGCUCAGGUGCGAAAGCGUGGGGAGCAAACAGGAUUAGAUACCCUAGUAGA